UACCAGCACCCCGAGUGGUCGGGACGUUUAUUGGGCCUAAAGCAUCCGUAGCCGGUUCUGCAAGUCUUCCGUUAAAUCCACCUGCUUAACAGAUGGGCUGCGGAAGAUACUAUAGAGCUAGGAGGCGGGAGAGGCAAGCGGUACUCGAUGGGUAGGGGUAAAAUCCUCUGAUCCACUGAAGACCACCAGUGGCGAAGGCGGCUUGCCAGAACGCGCUCGACGGUGAGGGAUGAAAGCUGGGGGAGCAAACCGG
rnacentral:rRNA from 1 species